rnacentral:rRNA from 1 species
CCUACGGGUGGCUGCAGUAAGGAAUAUUGGUCAAUGGACGAAAGUCUGAACCAGCCAUGCCGCGUGGAGGAUGAAGGUCCUCUGGAUUGUAAACUUCUUUUAUAUGGGACGAAAAAAGGCCUUUCUAGGCCGUCUGACGGUACCAUAUGAAUAAGCACCGGCUAACUCCGUGCCAGCAGCCGCGGUAAUACGGAGGGUGCGAGCGUUAUCCGGAUUCAAGGGGUUUAAGGUGGGUUUAUGAGUCAGGAGUGAAAUCUCCUAGCUUAACUUGGAAACUGCCAUUGAUACUGUUAAUCUUGAAUAUUGUGGAGGUUAGCGGAAUAUGUCAUGUAGCGGUGAAAUGCUUAGAUAUGACAUAGAACACCAAUUGCGAAGGCAGCUGGCUACACAUAUAUUGACACUGAGGCACGAAAGCGUGGGGAUCAAACAGGAUUAGAUACCCUAGUAGUC